rnacentral:rRNA from 1 species
AUGUCAGAAUGUGGCUAUGUAUCUCACGCAAACUUGAUGUCCGUCGUCAUACACGAGAGCAUCGAGUCUGCCUCUCAGCGGGAAUGCCCACACAUUGAUAACCUUGAUACUCUACAACAUAUCUUGUCAGACAUACUGCAAGAAUCAGGGAAAUUCCUGCUUGUGUUGGAUGAUGUAUGGUUUGAACCUGGCAGCGAGAGGGAACGGGACCAGCUGCUAGCUCCUCUAGUCUCCCAACAUAUAGGAAGCAAAGUUUUAGUAACUUCUCGACGGAAUACAUUUCCAACUGCUCUUUACUGUGCCGAAGUGUGUCCCUUGAAAAACAUGAAAGAUGCUCAUUUCUUGGCACUCUUCAAACACCAUGCUUUCUCUGGACCAGAAAUCAGAAAUCAUGCAAAACACGGAAGAUUGCGUGAAAAGCUGGAAAACUUUGCAGAGAAGAUUGCUAAAAGGCUUGGACAAUCUCCUUUGGCGGCCAAAGUUGUGGGUUCCCAGUUGAAAGGGAAAACCGAUAUAUCUACAUGGAAGGAUGCUCUAACUUUAAUGAUUGACAAAUUAAGUGAACCUAUGACAGCACUGUUGUGGAGUUAUGAGAAGUUAGAUCCAUGUCUACAGAGGUGCUUCCUAUAUUGCAGCUUGUUUCCAAAAGGCCACAAGUAUGUCACUGAUGAGUUGGUUCAUCUUUGGAUGGCAGAGGGCCUUCUUGAUUCGUGCGAUCGAAACAGGGGAGUUGAAGAUGUUGGGAGGGAUUGCUUCAAGGAGAUGAUCUCUGUUUCGUUUUUUCAACCUGGCAAAGAUCGCAAAUACUAUGUUAUGCAUGAUUUCCUUCAUGAUCUGGCAGAAUCAUUCUCCAAAGAAGAUUACUUCAGGUUGGACAAUGAUAAGAUACUACAGAAUUUGAAGAAGUUGCGCGUAUUAUUUUUGUCAUCUUACAGUAGUAGCAAGUUGCCAGAAUCUGUUGGUGAGUUGAAGGCUUGA